rnacentral:rRNA from 1 species
CGAAGCCGUGCAGGGAGGAGUUCGCGGCCUAUCAGGUAGUUGGUGGGGUAACGGCCGUACCAAGCCGACGACGGGUAGCUGGUCUGAGAGGAUGGUCAGCCACAUUGGAACUGAGAUACUGUCCAGACUCCUACGGGAGGCUGCAGUCGAGAAUCUUGGGCAAUGCACGAAAGUGUGACCCAGCGACGCCGCGUGAAGGAUGAAGGAGCUAUGCUUCGUAAACUUCUUUUAUGAGUGAAGAAAACCCUUUCGGGGGCUUGACAUUAGCUCAUGAAUAAGCCACGGCUAACUACGUGCCAGCAGCCGCGGUAAUACGUAGGUGGCAAGCGUUGUCCGGAUUUACUGGGCGUAAAGCGUGCGCAGGCGGACCCGUAAGUAGAAAGUGAAAGGCGGAAGCUCAACUUCCGGACUGCUUCCUAUACUGCUGGUCUUGAAUGUCGGAGAGGAAAGCGGAACGACACGUGUAGCGGUGAAAUGCGUUGAGAUGUGUCGGAACACCAAUGGCGAAAGCAGCUUUCUGGACGAAUAUUG